UACGUAGGGGGCAAGCGUUCUCCGGAAUUAUUGGGCGUAAAGAGCUCGUAGGCGGUUUGUCGCGUCUGCCGUGAAAGUCCGGGGCUCAACUCCGGAUCUGCGGUGGGUACGGGCAGACUAGAGUGAUGUAGGGGAGACUGGAAUUCCUGGUGUAGCGGUGAAAUGCGCAGAUAUCAGGAGGAACACCGAUGGCGAAGGCAGGUCUCUGGGCAUUAACUGACGCUGAGGAGCGAAAGCAUGGGGAGCGAACAGG
rnacentral:rRNA from 1 species